GGGUGCGAUCAUACGAGCGUUAAUGCAUCGGAUCCCAUCCGAACUCCGCAAUUAAGCAGGCUUGGGCUAGAGUAGUACUGGGAUGGGUGACCUCCUGGGAAGUCCUAGUGUUGCACCCU
rfam:Picea glauca, whole genome shotgun sequence.